rnacentral:rRNA from 1 species
UACGAAGGGUGCAAGCGUUACUCGGAAUUACUGGGCGUAAAGCGUGCGUAGGUGGUUUGUUAAGUCUGAUGUGAAAGCCCUGGGCUCAACCUGGGAAUUGCAUUGGAUACUGGCAGGCUAGAGUGCGGUAGAGGAUGGCGGAAUUCCAGGUGUAGCGGUGAAAUGCGUAGAUAUCUGGAGGAAUACCGGUGGCGAAGGCGGCAUCCUGGACCGGCAUUGACGCUGAGUGAGCGAAAGCCAGGGGAGCAAACGGG